GACGAACCGUGCGAACGUUAUUCGGAAUCACUGGGCUUAAAGCGCGUGUAGGCGGGUCGGAACGUCGGUCGCUGAAAUCCCCCGGCUCAACCGGGGAAGGGGCGCCGAUACGGCCGGUCUUGAGGAACGUAGGGGGAGCUGGAACUUCCGGUGGAGCGGUGAAAUGCGUUGAGAUCGGAAGGAACGCCCGUGGCGAAAGCGAGCUCCUGGACGUUUUCUGACGCUGAGACGCGAAAGCCAGGGGAGCGAACGG
rnacentral:rRNA from 1 species